CAACUGCCCAGUGGCAUGACUAGAGUCUAGCUGGAGUCAUAUUAAAUCAAACAGAAGUCAGGCUGUGUUGAUUGUCCUGGCUACAAAGUAUUUCAAAGCCUUACCUUUGAUGUUCAAUUUUGGACAAUUCUACAAAAGUCACAGUGGAUAAGCAAAUAUCGUGUGAAAUAUUUGCUUUGACGAACAAUGGUAGAAUACAAGACUGAAUAUUUUUGUAAUUUAUCAGAUUACAAAAUAAUUUAUUCAUGAACAGGAAAACUUAGAAUUGAACGAUUUUAAAAGUCUAAUUAGCAAUUUUUGUGUAAUUUAUUGAA